GACAUAGGUCGCAAACGUUAUCCGGAAUUAUUGGGCGUAAAGGAUGCGUAGAUGGUUCAGUAAGUUACUGGUGGGAAAUCGAGGCCCAACCUCGUGGAAGUUAGUAAUACUGCUGUGACUUGAGUCCAGUAGAGGAGCGUGGAAUUCCUGGUGUAGCGGUGAAAUGCGCAGAUAUCAGGAGGAACACCAGCAGCGAAGGCGGCGCUCUGGGCUGGAACUGACGCUGAGGAGCGAAAGCGUGGGUAGCAAACAGG
rnacentral:rRNA from 1 species